rnacentral:misc_RNA from 1 species
GCAACUGCAAAGGAUGCGGUACCUUCUGAUGGACGGUAGGUGCGGUAGAGCCCGCUGAAAUGCGGAGCUGAGAAGCAAACCUGUCCCACCCCACCAUGCAACGAUGGACUUGAUUGAUGACGUGCCAUACACAGCUUAGCCAGCCUACGCACGAGAUCGUCCGCUUGAGUUUGGGUAGCGCCCAAGGGUUGUGAUAUUUCCCCUGCAUGGAAAGAUACACAUCAUCACAUGGUCAAGAGCCAAUGCCUUGAGAGCAAUGACGCGUUGAGACACACGCAUGAGCCCAAGAGUGAAGCCGCCUGAGCCAAGAGUCAAUGAGUCCUACGGGUUGACCGCUUGUGACAGAGUCAAUAAAUCCUUCGGGUUGACCUCCUUGCAUGAGUCAAUAAAUCCUACCACGGCUGACCGCCAUACGCUGAAACAUGCUAUGAGCCAAGAGCGAGGUGUCUAGAGCCGGCUGAAAUGCCAGAGCCCGCCUCCGUGCCUUGUGUAACACACAUGAGCAAGCCGCCAGAGCCAAGCGCCAGAUGCCAUCGAGCCAGAGCCACCAAUUCGACCGUUGAGAAACUCACAGGGUGGAAUUCCUUUUUGAGACACUCACGAGAGCCGCCUAGUUAACCUACCUGAGCAAAGCGUCAGAGCCACGAUGCCAGAGCCGCCCCAAAGAGCCAACUGUCGAGAGACGGCCAGGUAAAAGCCGAGAAGCUGCUGAGACGCUACCAUGCCGAGAAGCGGGCUGAGACGCGCUAGAGCAAAGAUCUGCUUAUGACAGACGCCAUUCCAAUGGUCAAAAGAGCUAUGCAACAGUUAACGAGCCCGCGCCACACGCCGACUAUCAAGUCUGAGCGAACGCCAGAGCCGCCAACGAGCCACACCAUGAUGCCUGAGUCAGAGCCAGUAAGCCCCACUGAGGCAAUAAGUGCCAAAUCCAGAGCCACAGACGAGAGCAAAGAGCCGGUAAGUCCAAAGAUGCAAUAAGAGCCAAACGCCAGUCACCAGCCAGAGCAAGAGCCAGUGAGUCCACAGAUGCAAUAAGAGCCAAACGCCUGAGCGAUACACGUACCAGAGCCAAAGGAGCCAGGGCCAUCGAGCCGAGGCCAGCCAGAUGCCACUAAGAGCCAGAGCCACAACGAGCCAGUUGCCAAUAAGAGCCAGAGCACGAGCCAGAGUCACACAAGAUGUUGCAGUCGAGAUGUGUAUAGGACGUAGGCAGUUGAACCUCUUAGCAAGAGGAUGUAAACUGACCGAACCUAUUAUUUAGUUGAGAGGAGUAGGUGAAAAUCCGAACCUCUGGGUUAAUAUAUCAUGGACCAAAGAGUCCCCACCCAAUUUUUCAAUUGUAGUGUUAUUGUAGCAUUUUUGU